UGGGGAAUAUUGGACAAUGGGGGGAACCCCGAUCCAGCCAUGCCGCGUGUGUGACGAAGGCCUUUUGGUUGUAAAGCACUUUAAGCGAGGAGGAGGAGCUCUAGAUUAAUACUCUAGAUGCUUGGACGUUACUCGCAGAAUAAGCACCGGCUAACUCUGUGCCAGCAGCCGCGGUAAUACAGAGGGUGCCAGCGUUAAUCGGAUUUACUGGGCGUAAAGCGUGCGUAGGUGGUCUUUUAAGUCGGAUGUGAAAUCCCUGAGCUUAACUUAGGAAGUGCAUUGGAGACUGGGAGACUAGAGUAUGGGAGAGGAUGGUAGAAUUCCAGGUGUAGCGGUGAAAUGCGUAGAGAUCUGGAGGAAUACCGAUGGCGAAGGCAGCCAUCUGGCCUAAUACUGACACUGAGGUACGAAAGCAUGGGGAGCAAACA
rnacentral:rRNA from 1 species